rnacentral:rRNA from 1 species
CGAGUGAACGCUGGCGGUAGGCCUAACACAUGCAAGUCGAACGGCAGCACAGGAGAGCUUGCUCUCUGGGUGGCGAGUGGCGGACGGGUGAGGAAUACAUCGGAAUCUACCUUUUCGUGGGGGAUAACGUAGGGAAACUUACGCUAAUACCCGCAUAAGACCUUCGGGUGAAAGCAGGGGACCUUCGGGCCUUGCGCGGAUAGAUGAGCCGAUGUCGGAUUAGCUUGUUGGCGGGUAAAAGCCCACCAAGGCGACGAUCCGUAGCUGGUCUGAGAGGAUGAUCAGCCACACUGGAACUGAGACACGGUCCAGACUCCUACGGGAGGCAGCAGUGGGGAAUAUUGGACAAUGGGCGCAAGCCUGAUCCAGCCAUACCGCGUGGGUGAAGAAGGCCUUCGGGUUGUAAAGCCCUUUUGUUGGGAAAGAAAACUUGCGGGCUAAUACCCAGCAAGUCUGACGGUACCCAAAGAAUAAGCACCGGCUAACUUCGUG